AUCCCAAUCGUCAAGUGCAUAAUCUCUUGCUAGCAUGUAACUUUCAUUGGAAUUGUCAAGUGCUUGCUUUUUGUAUUUCAAAUAUUGUCUUUACAUUGAGGUAUCGGUGCAUGAAUAAAAGCAUUGCCCGAUACAAUGCGUCGCAUGACAAAUUUUACAUCUUGGACCUCCAAGUAUAAAUGCAUGGUCAAUGUAAAGAUUAGACAUUGCAAACCCUUUAUUAAUUUCCCAAUAUGGGAAUAAUGCAAAUAUAGUUGAAAUCUAGAAGGAGAGAAAACCAACACAAAAUAGAUUAACA
rnacentral:lncRNA from 1 species